GGAUCAUGAAGUCAAGAGUUUGAGACCAGCCUGGCCAACAUGGGGAGGCCUAGAUGAUUCCAAGAUGUCCUGGCCAAGGUCCUUUGCUGACAGAGAAGGAAACUCACCAAAACUAGUUUGAGGAAAGAGAGAAAUUAAAUGGCGGGGCAGAGGUGAUUUCAUAGUCUCUGUGAGCAAAAGCAUAGGCAGGCCUCAUGGGACCCUGGAAAAAGAACAGAAAUACCUGCAAAUGAAGUUCCACUCUCAUUCUCUUACCGGGGGCCAUUCCUGCAUUGCACCCGCAGAUGUUGCUGCUACUCUGCAAGAAAUUUGUGGGGUUCUAACCUCUGCCUCACCAUGUGUCUGCUUCAGUUUCUUCUUUCUGCCAAGGUGGAAAGUGGCCAUCCCAACUGUACCUUUGCAGGACCCAACGCUGACCAUUGAGAGACUCUGGGUCAACUCCAAGCUGGAAUGAGAAAGAGUUGAGUCGACCUAUCCUCAAGCCCAACCAGAAUCCCUCCAUUCCCGUUUUCCUUCCCUGUUAAUCUCUCUCUUCUUCAUUAAUCUUUUCAUUGCUUCAGUAUGGUAACCCAAACUGGUGGAAAGGGGACAGAAAAUGGCACAAUCAGAAACUGAAGCCACAAAGACCUAACAUCCUAUGGAUGAGAUUAUCCAUCUGCUGGAGAGAUGACUUGAAGUGUACAGCAGAUAAGCUUAGAGGGCCUCUCCAGACCCGUCGCAAAGAUGCAAUCUGAAUGUAAUUUAAGAUAAAUAGUAAUCAUGGAAACACUAUCAUAUUAAUCACAGAAAUAAAUGCAGUCCAUGGGCUCUACGUUUGUGGAUUCAACCAACUGAGAAUUGAAAAUAUCCAGAAAAGAAAAAUGGAUGGUUCUGUCUGGACCAAACAU